CCCCUGCCGAAUACUAGGGCCUUGAAAAUGAAUGGCGCACAUAGUACUACCGAUACCAUACACAUGCAGCUGAUGCAUGGAGUAGGGGGACAUGAACAUUAUCAACGAAGGCAUCUCGUAAGAGGUGUUGGAGAAGUGUUUAUUGCACAUCCUAAUUGAAGUAGCGUUUAUCCAGGUUAACAUCCUGGAGGCUGAUGAGGAGUAGGGUUUCUGGGCAACAUACACUGUCCCAGAGUUAGUCGGUCCUGAUCCCAAUAAUGGUGAGAAAGGGAACACGGUUGAUAUUCCGUGACUAGUAGCAGGGAGUGGCAACACAGAGGAAACGUUUUCCGUCGAUUAGAUACCGAUUAUUAGGGAUCUCUUUCCUAAAUGACGGUGUGCGUGUGCUAGGAAUCAGGUCAACUGGAGAAUAUUUGCAUGCGUACCUGGCAAAAUGCUGAUUCGUCAGCAUUAAGGGCUGUCUGAUUGAUCCAUGAAGCAAGCGUUUUUAGUACUGCGCUAGGCGUACCGAUGACCGCAUCAGGUCUCCGAGGUGAGUAGCCUAUGGCCAUUGAGGUGUGGUAGUUCAGGGAAUUCGGCCAAUUGGAGCUGUAACUUCGGGAUAAAGCUUGGCUCUGAUGGAAAUCAGAACUGAUUGUUACAAGGAGAGCCCAACUGUUUAAUAAAAACGCAGUGUCGCGCUGAAGUCAUACAGCUUGUGAACGCGACAUGAAUCCUGCUCAGUGCUGUGUCUGUUAAAGUGGUUCAAGCCAACGAAGCACCGGUAAAUAGCUGGGGUAACUAUGACUCUUAUCAAAGUAGCGAAAUACCUCGUCACUUAAUUAGUGACCUGCAUGAACGGAGCUAUGAGGUUCUCACUGUCCCAAACUAUCUCUCAGCGAACCAACAGUUGUGGGAACGGGCACAAGUUAUCCAGCGGGGAAAGAAGACCCUGUAGAGCUUCACUUUGGUCUAGUCUUGUAUGGUUUCGUCAAGGGUGCAGUCUAGGUGGGAGAGCAAUCGAAUAUGAGAAACCACUACCUUGUCUGGAAUUAUGCUUAUCUCGAAAGAGAGAUAUGGCUAGAUAGAAAGUUUGGCUGGGGCGGCACACCUUCGAAAAUGCAGCGAAGGUGUCCUAAGUUGAGCUCAGUGAGGACAGAAAUCUCACGUCGAGGAUAAGGCCAAAAGCUCAAUUUACUGUGCCUUUUUGUACUAGGACCAGUUUGGAAACAAAGGCCUAACGAUCCCUAAUUAGUGGUAAGUGCGUACCACUUGGGGUGACAGACAAGUUACCUCCGGGACAACUGGCUUGUGGCUGCUAAGAGAUCAAAUCAACGCAGCUUUUUGAUUCUUCGAUGUCGGCUCUUCCUAUCCUAGUGUCGCAUAAGUCACUAAGGGUUGGAUUGUUCACCCGUAUUAGGGAUCGUGAGCUGGGUUUAGACCGUCGUGAGCCAGGUUUGUUUUAUCCUACUGGAUACUCCAUCAUGAUAGUAGAUUGAUUUAGUACGAGAGGAACUGUUGAUUAUGGCCUCUGGUUCAGCGAUUAUGGGAAACCAUACGUCGCGCAGCUACGCCGUCUGGGAUAAUGGCUGAAGGCCUCUUAAGCCAGAAACUCAUCUAGAGACUGAUGGAUGGUGGUAUCAUCCGCGGCAAGAUAAACUUUAUAGCGGAAAAGCCACUAAGGUAACCCAAUGUAGAAGACGUUGU
rnacentral:rRNA from 1 species